CAAGAAGCUUCAGAGAAAGAGCUGACGAUGGCCCUGCUCAACAUGGUUGAAGCAGAAGAAGGAGAGUAUCAGCUGGGACUCACCAAGGUGUUCCUCAAGGAGCGUUUGUACCAGCAACUGGAAGAGAAGUGGAGCAGCACUCAGACCUGGGCUGCCAUCACCAUCCAGAGGAACAUCCGAGGCUUUCUCUGCAGGAGAAACUUCAAGUUUUUUAAACAGAAAGCCAUUGUCAUCCAGAGCCACAUCCGUGGACAUCAGGCCAGGAAAUACUACAAGCGUCUAAAGCAGUCUUUCUCUCAGUUUUGGGCGUUGAUGCUGAUCACCAG
rnacentral:lncRNA from 1 species